GCCCAGGUGGCGAAAUUGGUAGACGCACCAGCUUGAGGGGCUGGCGACCGCAAGGUUGUGCAGGUUCAAAUCCUGUCCUGGGCA
rnacentral:tRNA from 1 species